rnacentral:rRNA from 1 species
GGCACGCUGGGGCGAUGGGCGGGGGUAAGACGGGGGGUGUAGGGGUUAAUGGGUGUUAGUGGGCGUAAAGGGCGCGUAGGUGGUUGGAUAAGUUGUUUGUGAAAUCCCCGGGCUUAACCUGGGAACUGCAAGCGAAACUGUCUGACUGGAGUACUGUAGAGGGUAGUGGAAUUUCCGGUGUAGCGGUGAAAUGCGUAGAGAUCGGAAGGAACACCAGUGGCGAAGGCGGCUACCUGGACAGAUACUGACACUGAGGCGCGAGAGCGUGGGGAGCAAACAGGAUUAGAUACCCCAGUAGUC